AAAAAUUCUAAACACCAAUAAAAUUUUCAAGGUCAAUGGUCAUCAAUUGAAACAUUUUUAUGAUGGAUUCCCUACACAAUAUGUUGAAGAAAUCACCUUGAGAAGUCCUAAAGAAGGCACCUGAAGGAAUUGACCAUGUCUAGCCUAGGAUGAUAAACAAGAGCCCUAAAUGGGAGGCAACCCAUUUAGUUAUUUUUUUGUUUACUUUAUUCUCAGGAUUCUUAAAUUAGUUGGAAUUUUUAUUUUUAUUUUUUUAUUAUUUGUUUUUCUAUCAUCUUCAUUUUUUUAUCAACUGGAAAUUUUUCUGAUAAUUUGCAGCUCUUUAAUGGAGGGGCACGUACAAAUUUAUUUUUUGGGUUUAAAUUUGGGACUUUUGCACAAACCUUACCCAAGGCUUAUGCCACGGCCCCUAAACACCCAAAUUUUUUAUUUUGCCCUAGAACCUCAAAGGAUUAAAUUUCCUUUUACUUUUCUCUUCCUUUUGUGCCGACACCCACUUUCCUCUUCUCCCAAAUCGGCUUCUCACCUCCCUCCUCCCACGUCUAACCCACUGCAAAGUAAGCCUCCUCUAUUUCAACCCAUCGCAAAGCAAGUCAAAUAAGAGGGAAGAGAGCUUUCACCAAGUGCACUUGAUCUAAAAACAGAUGGCUAUGACUCACAGAUGGGGCUAAAGAAAAUCAACAAAUUGCCUCCAGCAGAAGUCGAACCACCAUAGGCCGCACCAAAAGAAUUGAAUCAACCUUACAAUGCGGAUGACUCAACGAUGGCCGACCAACACCGCAGCUCCGUAACUAAUAUGCCUGACUCUCUAACCCGAGCGCAAGGCGAGCAAAACCCGGAGAUGAGUUGCGCAAGGGAAGACCCGGACUCACAGUAGCCCCAGACGAACAGACCUAUGAGCGAAAGCAUGGAGACCAGGUGGGCACAAAAGAGAGAAAGAGUCAAAAAAGGUUUUCCCCAUCAGGACCAAUUGUACCUAGAAACGUGAGGGCAUUUGACAAACGAAAAAAAGGCGGGCGACCUAUUGACAAUGCAAAAUCUACAUCAAUUUCUGUCCCACAACAAUCCACCCUACCUUUGGAAGUAAUAUUAUAGUAAAUUCAAAAGAUGGAUGAAUGCCUAACUAGCUUAGAGACGUUGGGCCUUCGUAUGGUAGAAAAAUUGGACCGGAUAUAAGUACUUAGCAAACCAGUAUUGAGAGCACUCCAAGACACGUAAUCAAGGCAGUUGACAUGUUCCCUCACUUUUUUUAUUUACUUAAUCAUCAUUUAUAACACAUCGGGAUAAUGUGUGGUUUAAGCAUGGGGAAGGAGGGGUAUGCUAUAUUUUGGGCAGUUCCCUUAGUAUUUUACUUUAUUAUUUCUACUGCAUUUUCCCUUUUUAUGAUACUUAUUAAUGAACAUUUUGACUUUGCCCA